GACGAACGCUGGCGGCGUGCUUAACACAUGCAAGUCGAACGGAAAGGCCCUGCUUUUGUGGGGUGCUCGAGUGGCGAACGGGUGAGUAACACGUGAGUAACCUGCCCUUGACUUUGGGAUAACUUCAGGAAACUGGGGCUAAUACCGGAUAGGAGCUCCUGCUGCAUGGUGGGGGUUGGAAAGUUUCGGCGGUUGGGGAUGGACUCGCGGCUUAUCGGCUUGUUGGUGGGGUAGUGGCUUACCAAGGCUUUGACGGGUAGCCGGCCUGAGAGGGUGACCGGCCACAUUGGGACUGAGAUACUGCCCAGACUCCUACGGGAGGCAGCAGUGGGGAAUAUUGCACAAUGGGCGGAAGCCUGAUGCAGCAACGCCGCGUGCGGGAUGACGGCCUUCGGGUUGUAAACCGCUUUCGCCUGUGACGAAGCGUGAGUGACGGUAAUGGGUAAAGAAGCACCGGCUAACUACGUG
rnacentral:rRNA from 1 species